CUAGACAAAGAAGAAGAAGGUGUCUCUUUCACCUCUCUGCUCUUCUUUCUCUGAUCAAGCUCUGUUCGUCUUGUCUCUGACCAAGAAAAAGACAAAGCUAUGCUCGAAUCGUCUUGUCUCUGGCCUCUGCGCAUAUUUGUCUCUGAAAAAGAAGAAGAAGAACCCAAUUCUUCUACGACCUCCCUGUUGAUUUUCUGUUCUCCACAACCUCCCCGUGUACACGUUCAACAACCCGUCGGAGGAGUUCUUGUUGGUUGCCGGAGCCUCCACUGGCAAGAACCUCGGCCUCUUCUGCUUCAACGAAGACGACGUCCAAGUCUUGCUCCGCCAGGUUUCCAUGAUCGACCCUCGCCUGCAUGACGGCUUCAAAGUUGUCCCGUUGCGCUCAACAAGAUUCCCUAAGCAUUUAAGAUCUCCAUUACUUAUACAAUCAGUCAGUAGAAUUCAUUCGAGAGCCGCAACUGCGUUUCCCUCUGAUGCAUGUAAGUGAUUGAAUUUGUCUGUCACAGGGGAAAAAAUGCAUUCUGUUGAGAGUAAUUUUCAGAAACGAGAAGAAGAAAAUAUAAAAUCACUUGUGAAGCUACUGUUUGAUUGCAUCUUGGAAGCCAAAGAAAUAUUGAUGGAAACUUUGUUGCUUCUCUUUGUAAUGAAAACAUGGAAAGACAUUAUGACAUAUGAUUAUUUAUAUUCAAAUGGUUGAGAUUUACAAUGAACAAGUUAGAUACCUACUUACUGAGGACAAAACAGAUAAUAAAUUAGAGAUUAGGAGCUGCAAUGAUGAUGGAUUGAGUCUUUCUUAUGCUACAUUGCGUCCGGUGACAUCUACAGCUGAUGUUCUGACCCUCAUGAAACUCAGUGAGGUCAACCUUGCUGUCAGUUCUGUUGCACUGAGCAAUAGGAGUAGUCAUUCCCAUAGAUAUAUGAAAUUUAUGGAUCCGAGCGGAAUUACAGAUUUUCGCUAGGAGGGAAGCCGGUAUCAUAUGAGAAGGAGAGAAAUGCUAGAACAAGCGCCUCCUCCGGCAGUGGCAAGGACCUCAAAACGGUUAUUGUAGGAAGACUUCAAGAGCCAAAUAUCAAUGCUGGGGUGGUUGCUUUGACUCAAAGCAACCCCAACAGCUCCAAACCUCCAAUUUAGUAUUCUUUCUUUUUUGUUUUUUUUUCUUCUAUGUUUCUUAUAUAAUAUUGGUGAUUUGACAAACAACUUUAUUUAACUGACGAUCUAUGCUAAAAUUUGGUCUAAGGUAGUCUAUUUGUUGUAUUGCCACUCGUAUACUUUCUGUGCAUCUGUGUAUGAGAUGCUAUGAAACUAUCCACU